GUCUACAGCCAUACCACCCUGAACGUGCCCGAUCACGUCUGAUCUUGGAAGCUAAGCAGGGUCGGGCCUGGUUAGUACUUGGACGGGAGAAAUGAAAAAAAAAAAAACAGAAAACC
rnacentral:rRNA from 1 species